CCUUAGAGUUUGAUCCUGGCUCAGGAUGAACGCUAGCUACAGGCUUAACACAUGCAAGUCGAGGGGCAGCAUUUUAGUUUGCUUGCAAACUAAAGAUGGCGACCGGCGCACGGGUGAGUAACACGUAUCCAACCUGCCGAUAACUCGGGGAUAGCCUUUCGAAAGAAAGAUUAAUAUCCGAUGGUAUAUUAAAACCGCAUGGUUUUACUAUUAAAGAAUUUCGGUUAUCGAUGGGGAUGCGUUCCAUUAGUUUGUUGGCGGGGUAACGGCCCACCAAGACUACGAUGGAUAGGGGUUCUGAGAGGAAGGUCCCCCACAUUGGAACUGAGACACGGUCCAAACUCCUACGGGAGGCAGCAGUGAGGAAUAUUGGUCAAUGGACGAGAGUCUGAACCAGCCAAGUAGCGUGAAGGAUGACUGCCCUAUGGGUUGUAAACUUCUUUUAUAUGGGAAUAAAGUAUUCCACGUGUGGAAUUUUGUAUGUACCAUAUGAAUAAGGAUCGGCUAACUCCGUGCCAGCAGCCGCGGUAAUACGGAGGAUCCGAGCGUUAUCCGGAUUUAUUGGGUUUAAAGGGAGCGUAGGUGGAUUGUUAAGUCAGUUGUGAAAGUUUGCGGCUCAACCGUAAAAUUGCAGUUGAAACUGGCAGUCUUGAGUACAGUAGAGGUGGGCGGAAUUCGUGGUGUAGCGGUGAAAUGCUUAGAUAUCACGAAGAACUCCGAUUGCGAAGGCAGCUCACUAGACUGCAACUGACACUGAUGCUCGAAAGUGUGGGUAUCAAACAGGAUUAGAUACCCUGGUAGUCCACACAGUAAACGAUGAAUACUCGCUGUUUGCGAUAUACAGUAAGCGGCCAAGCGAAAGCAUUAAGUAUUCCACCUGGGGAGUACGCCGGCAACGGUGAAACUCAAAGGAAUUGACGGGGGCCCGCACAAGCGGAGGAACAUGUGGUUUAAUUCGAUGAUACGCGAGGAACCUUACCCGGGCUUAAAUUGCAUUUGAAUAAUCUGGAAACAGGUUAGCCGCAAGGCAAAUGUGAAGGUGCUGCAUGGUUGUCGUCAGCUCGUGCCGUGAGGUGUCGGCUUAAGUGCCAUAACGAGCGCAACCCUUAUCUUUAGUUACUAACAGGUCAUGCUGAGGACUCUAGAGAGACUGCCGUCGUAAGAUGUGAGGAAGGUGGGGAUGACGUCAAAUCAGCACGGCCCUUACGUCCGGGGCUACACACGUGUUACAAUGGGGGGUACAGAAGGCAGCUACCUGGCGACAGGAUGCUAAUCCCAAAAACCUCUCUCAGUUCGGAUCGAAGUCUGCAACCCGACUUCGUGAAGCUGGAUUCGCUAGUAAUCGCGCAUCAGCCAUGGCGCGGUGAAUACGUUCCCGGGCCUUGCACUCACCGCCCGUCAAG
rnacentral:rRNA from 1 species